GUGUUCACUUCAGCAGCAGAUACACUAAACUUGGAAUGAUAUAGAUUAGCAUGGCCACUGUACAAGGAUAUACAAAUUCAUGAAGCUAUCCAUGUUUUG
rnacentral:snRNA from 1 species